GAGGAAUAUUGGUCAAUGGACGGAAGUCUGAACCAGCCAAGUAGCGUGCAGGAUGACGGCCCUAUGGGUUGUAAACUGCUUUUGUAUGGGGAUAAAGUUAGGGACGUGUCCCUAUUUGCAGGUACCAUACGAAUAAGGACCGGCUAAUUCCGUGCCAGCAGCCGCGGUAAUACGGAAGGUCCAGGCGUUAUCCGGAUUUAUUGGGUUUAAAGGGAGCGUAGGCUGGAGAUUAAGUGUGUUGUGAAAUGUAGACGCUCAACGUCUGAAUUGCAGCGCAUACUGGUUUCCUUGAGUACGCACAACGUUGGCGGAAUUCGUCGUAUAGCGGUGAAAUGCUUAGAUAUGACGAGGAACUCCGAUUGCGAAGGCAGCUGACGGGAGCGCAACUGACGCUUAAGCUCGAAGGUGCGGGUAUCAAACAGGAUUAGAUACCCUGGUAGUCCGCACAGUAAACGAUGGAUGCCCGCUGUUGGUACCUGGUAUCAGCGGCUAAGCGAAAGCAUUAAGCAUCCCACCUGGGGAGUACGCCGGCAACGGUG
rnacentral:rRNA from 1 species